CAGUAGCCGCUGGAAUACGGAGGGUGCAAGCGUUAUCCGGAUUUAUUGGGUUUAAAGGGUCCGUAGGCGGACUUAUAAGUCAGUGGUGAAAGCCUGUCGCUUAACGAUAGAACUGCCAUUGAUACUGUAAGUCUUGAGUAUAUUUGAGGUAGCUGGAAUAAGUAGUGUAGCGGUGAAAUGCAUAGAUAUUACUUAGAACACCAAUUGCGAAGGCAGGUUACCAAGAUAUAACUGACGCUGAGGGACGAAAGCGUGGGUAGCGAACAGGAUUAGAUACCCCAGUAGUCCCUGUCUCUUAUAA
rnacentral:rRNA from 1 species